UAACCCCUCAAGCCUAGCUUGGUGUUGGGGCCUGCGGUCACCGGCAGCUCCUAAAAUUAGUGGCGGCGUCCUCGGGCUCUGAGCGUAGUAAUUCUUCUCGCUACAGGGCUCCGGCGGGUGCUGGCCAUCAACCCCUCCUUUCUCU
rnacentral:misc_RNA from 1 species